rnacentral:misc_RNA from 1 species
GCUGUCGUCUUACACGUAGCCUUCUAGGAACCGCGUUGCCUGUAGUGGGCACGGUUUGGUGCACAACAAACGUGGAGCCGCAAGGGAUUUUGCGGUGAUGGGACUACCAGACACACUAUUGGGCUUUGAGACAACAGGCCCGUGCCCCUUUUUGGGGGGUGGCAUCCGGUUGCGGGUGUCGGCGUGUUGUUGCCUCACUUUGGUGGUGGGGUGUGGUGUUUGAUUUGUGAAUAUUGGUUGCCACCAU